CCAGACUCCUACGGGAGGCAGCAGUGGGGGAUAUUGCACAAUGGGGGGAACCCUGAUGCAGCGACGCCGCGUGGGUGAAGAAGUAUUUCGGUAUGUAAAGCCCUAUCGGCAGGGAAGAAAUUGGACGGUACCUGACUAAGAAGCCCCGGCUAACUACGUGCCAGCAGCCGCGGUAAUACGUAGGGGGCCAGCGUUAUCCGGAUUUACUGGGUGUAAAGGGAGCGUAGACGGCUGGCCAAGUCUGAAGUGAAAGCCCGGGGCUUAACCCCGGAACGGCUUUGGAAACUGGCCGGCUGGAGUGCUGGAGAGGCAGGCGGAAUUCCUGGUGUAGCGGUGAAAUGCGUAGAUAUCAGGAGGAACACCGGUGGCGAAGGCGGCCUGCUGGACAGUAACUGACGUUGAGGCUCGAAAGCGUGGGGAGCAAACAGGAUUAGAUACCCCCGUAG
rnacentral:rRNA from 1 species